AGAACGAACGCUGGCGGCAGGCUUAACACAUGCAAGUCGAACGCCCCGCAAGGGGAGUGGCAGACGGGUGAGUAACACGUGGGAACGUGCCCAAAGGUACGGAACAACUCCGGGAAACUGGAGCUAAUACCGUAUGUGCCCGAAAGGGGAAGAUUUAUCGCCUUUGGAUCGGCCCGCGUCUGAUUAGCUAGUUGGCGGGUAAUGGCCCACCAAGGCGACGAUCAGUAGCUGGUCUGAGAGGAUGACCAGCCACACUGGGACUGAGACACGGCCCAGACUCCUACGGGAGCAGCAGUGGGGAAUAUUGGACAAGUGGGCGCAAGCCUGAU
rnacentral:rRNA from 1 species